rnacentral:rRNA from 1 species
GAUGAACGCUGGCGGCGUGCCUAAUACAUGCAAGUCGAGCGAACAGACGAGGAUCUUGCUCCUCUGACGUUAGCGGCGGACGGGUGAGUAACACGUGGAUAACCUAUCUAUAAGACUGGGAUAACUUCGUGAAACCUGAGCUAAUACCGGAUAAUAUAUUGAACCGCAUGGUCCAAUAGUGAAAGACGGUUUUGCUGUCACUGAUAGAUGGAUCCGCGCCGCAUUAGCUAGUUGGUAAGGUAACGGCUUACCAAGGCAACGAUGCGUAGCCGACCUGAGAGGGUGAUCGGCCACACUGGAACUGAGACACGGUCCAGACUCCUACGGGAGGCAGCAGUAGGGAAUCUUCCGCAAUGGGCGAAAGCCUGACGGAGCAACGCCGCGUGAGUGAUGAAGGUCUUCGGAUCGUAAAACUCUGUUAUUAGGGAAGAACAAAUGUGUAAGUAUCUAUGCACGUCAUGACGGUACCUGAUCAGAAAGCCCCGGCUAACUACGUG